rnacentral:rRNA from 1 species
GGGUUGUGAGGUUAAGCGACUAAGCGUACACGGUGGAUGCCCUGGCAGUCAGAGGCGAUGAAGGACGUGCUAAUCUGCGAAAAGCGUCGGUAAGGUGAUAUGAACCGUUAUAACCGGCGAUGUCCGAAUGGGGAAACCCAGUGCAAUUCGUUGCACUAUCGUUAACUGAAUACAUAGGUUAACGAGGCGAACCGGGGGAACUGAAACAUCUAAGUACCCCGAGGAAAAGAAAUCAACCGAGAUUCCCCCAGUAGCGGCGAGCGAACGGGGAGCAGCCCAGAGUCUGAAUCAGCUUGUGUGUUAGUGGAACGGUCUGGAAAGUCCGACGGUACAGGGUGAUAGUCCCGUACACCAAAAUGCACAGGUUGUGAACUCGAAGAGUAGGGCGGGACACGUGGUAUCCUGUCUGAAUAUGGGGGGACCAUCCUCCAAGGCUAAAUACUCCUGACUGACCGAUAGUGAACCAGUACCGUGAGGGAAAGGCGAAAAGAACCCCGGCGAGGGGAGUGAAAAAGAACCUGAAACCGUGUACGUACAAGCAGUGGGAGCACCUUCGGGUGUGACUGCGUACCUUUUGUAUAAUGGGUCAGCGACUUAUAUUCUGUAGCAAGGUUAACCGUAUAGGGGAGCCGCAGGGAAACCGAGUCUUAACUGGGCGUUAAGUUGCAGGGUAUAGACCCGAAACCCGGUGAUCUAGCCAUGGGCAGGUUGAAGGUUGGGUAACACUAACUGGAGGACCGAACCGACUAAUGUUGAAAAAUUAGCGGAUGACUUGUGGCUGGGGGUGAAAGGCCAAUCAAACCGGGAGAUAGCUGGUUCUCCCCGAAAGCUAUUUAGGUAGCGCCUCGUGAAUUCAUCUUCGGGGGUAGAGCACUGUUUCGGCUAGGGGGUCAUCCCGACUUACCAACCCGAUGCAAACUACGAAUACCGAAGAAUGUUAUCACGGGAGACACACGGCGGGUGCUAACGUCCGUCGUGAAGAGGGAAACAACCCAGACCGCCAGCUAAGGUCCCAAAGUCAUGGUUAAGUGGGAAACGAUGUGGGAAGGCACAGACAGCCAGGAUGUUGGCUUAGAAGCAGCCAUCAUUUAAAGAAAGCGUAAUAGCUCACUGGUCGAGUCGGCCUGCGCGGAAGAUGUAACGGGGCUAAACCAUGCACCGAAGCUGCGGCAGCGACACUAUGUGUUGUUGGGUAGGGGAGCGUUCUGUAAGCCUGCGAAGGUGUGCUGUGAGGCAUGCUGGAGGUAUCAGAAGUGCGAAUGCUGACAUAAGUAACGAUAAAGCGGGUGAAAAGCCCGCUCGCCGGAAGACCAAGGGUUCCUGUCCAACGUUAAUCGGGGCAGGGUGAGUCGACCCCUAAGGCGAGGCCGAAAGGCGUAGUCGAUGGGAAACAGGUUAAUAUUCCUGUACUUGGUGUUACUGCGAAGGGGGGACGGAGAAGGCUAUGUUAGCCGGGCGACGGUUGUCCCGGUUUAAGCAUGUAGGCUGAUUAUCCAGGCAAAUCCGGAUAAUCAAGGCUGAGGUGUGAUGACGAGGCACUACGGUGCUGAAGUAACAAAUGCCCUGCUUCCAGGAAAAGCCUCUAAGCAUCAGGUAACAUCAAAUCGUACCCCAAACCGACACAGGUGGUCAGGUAGAGAAUACCAAGGCGCUUGAGAGAACUCGGGUGAAGGAACUAGGCAAAAUGGUGCCGUAACUUCGGGAGAAGGCACGCUGGUGUGUAGGUGAAGUCCCUGCGGAUGGAGCUGAGACCAGUCGAAGAUACCAGCUGGCUGCAACUGUUUAUUAAAAACACAGCACUGUGCAAACACGAAAGUGGACGUAUACGGUGUGACGCCUGCCCGGUGCCGGAAGGUUAAUUGAUGGGGUUAUCCGUAAGGAGAAGCUCUUGAUCGAAGCCCCGGUAAACGGCGGCCGUAACUAUAACGGUCCUAAGGUAGCGAAAUUCCUUGUCGGGUAAGUUCCGACCUGCACGAAUGGCGUAAUGAUGGCCAGGCUGUCUCCACCCGAGACUCAGUGAAAUUGAACUCGCUGUGAAGAUGCAGUGUACCCGCGGCAAGACGGAAAGACCCCGUGAACCUUUACUAUAGCUUGACACUGAACAUUGAGCCUUGAUGUGUAGGAUAGGUGGGAGGCUUUGAAGCGUGGACGCCAGUCUGCGUGGAGCCAACCUUGAAAUACCACCCUUUAAUGUUUGAUGUUCUAACGUUGGCCCCUUACCGGGGUUGCGGACAGUGUCUGGUGGGUAGUUUGACUGGGGCGGUCUCCUCCCAAAGCGUAACGGAGGAGCACGAAGGUUAGCUAAUCCUGGUCGGACAUCAGGAGGUUAGUGCAAUGGCAUAAGCUAGCUUGACUGCGAGCGUGACGGCGCGAGCAGGUGCGAAAGCAGGUCAUAGUGAUCCGGUGGUUCUGAAUGGAAGGGCCAUCGCUCAACGGAUAAAAGGUACUCCGGGGAUAACAGGCUGAUACCGCCCAAGAGUUCAUAUCGACGGCGGUGUUUGGCACCUCGAUGUCGGCUCAUCACAUCCUGGGGCUGAAGUAGGUCCCAAGGGUAUGGCUGUUCGCCAUUUAAAGUGGUACGCGAGCUGGGUUUAGAACGUCGUGAGACAGUUCGGUCCCUAUCUGCCGUGGGCGCUGGAGAAUUGAGGGGGGCUGCUCCUAGUACGAGAGGACCGGAGUGGACGCAUCACUGGUGUUCGGGUUGUCAUGCCAAUGGCACUGCCCGGUAGCUAAAUGCGGAAGAGAUAAGUGCUGAAAGCAUCUAAGCACGAAACUUGCCCCGAGAUGAGUUCUCCCUGAGACUUUAAGUCUCCUGAAGGAACGUUGAAGACGACGACGUUGAUAGGCCGGGUGUGUAAGCGCAGCGAUGCGUUGAGCUAACCGGUACUAAUGAACCGUGAGGCUUAACCUUACAACGCCGAAG